AUUGAACGCUGGCGGCAGGCCUAACACAUGCAAGUCGAACGAGUGGCGGAAGGGUGAGUAAGGUCUGGGAAAAGGCCUGGUGGAUGGGGAUAACUAAUGGAAACGGUAGCUAAUACCGCCUACAACGGCAUGUGCCCGAAGGGGAUUAGCUUGUUGGUGGGGUAACGGCUCACCAAGGCGACGAGCCCUAGCUGGUCUGAGAGGAUGACCAGCCACACUGGAACUGAGACACGGUCCAGACUCCUACGGGAGGCAGCAGUGGGGAAUAUUGCACAAUGGGCGAAAGCCUGAUGCAGCCAUGCCGCGUGUAUGAAGAAGGCCUUCGGGUUGUAAAGUACUUUCAGCGGGGAGGCGUUACCCGCAGAAGAAGCACCGGCUAACUCCGUGCCAGCAGCCGCGGUAAUUC
rnacentral:rRNA from 1 species